rnacentral:rRNA from 1 species
UACGUAGGGUGCGAGCGUUAAUCGGGAAUUACUGGGCGUAAAGUGUGCGCAGGCGGCCGCGCAAGUCGAGUGUGAAAUCCCCGAGCUUAACUUGGGAAUUGCGCUCGAAACUACGUGGCUGGAGUGUGGCAGAGGAAGGUGGAAUUCCACGUGUAGCGGUGAAAUGCGUAGAGAUGUGGAGGAACACCGAUGGCGAAGGCCAGCCUUCUGGGCCAACACUGACGCUCAUGCACGAAAGCGUGGGGAGCAAACAGG